rnacentral:lncRNA from 1 species
AUGCCAGCAAAUUUGGAAAACUCAGUGUGGCCACAGGACUGGAAAAGGUCAGUUUUCAUUCCAAUCCCAAAGAAAGGCAAUGCCAAAGAAUGCUCAAACUACCACACAAUUGCACUCAUCUCACAUGCUAGUAAAGUAAUGCUCAAAAUUCUCCAAGCCAGGCUUCAGCAAUACGUGAACCAUGAACUUCCUGAUGUUCAAGCUGGUUUUAGAAAAGGCAGAGGAACCAGAGAUCAAAUUGCCAACAUCUGCUGGAUCAUGGGAAAAGCAAGAGAGUUCCAGAAAAACGUCUAUUUCUGCUUUAUUGACUAUGUCAAAGCCUUUGACUGUGUGGAUCACAAUAAACUGUGGAAGAUUCUGAGAGAGAUGGGAAUACCAGACCACCUGACCUGCCUCUUGAGAAAUCUGUAUGCAGGUCAGGAAGCAACAGUUAGAACUGGACCUGGAACAACAGACUGGUUCCAAAUAGGAAAAGGAGUCCGUCAAGGCUGUAUAUUGUCACCCUGCUUAUUUAACUUCUAUGCAGAGUACAUCAUGAGAAACGCUGGACUGGAAGAAACACAAGCUGGAAUCAAGACUGCUGGGAGAAAUCUCAAUAACCUCAGAUAUGCAGAUGACACCACCCUAACGGCAGAAAGUGAAGAGGAACUAAAAAGCCUCUUGAUGAAAGUGAAAGAGGAGAGUGAAAAAGUUGGCUUAAAGCUCAACAUUCAGAAAACGAAGAUCAUGGCAUCCAGUCCCAUCACUUCAUGGGAAAUAGAUGGGGAAACAAUGUCAGACUUUAUUUUUGGGGGCUCCAAAAUCACUGCGGAUGGUGACUGCAGCCAUGAAAUUAAAAGAUGCUUACUCCUUGGAAGAAAAGUUAUGGCCAACCUAGAUAGCAUACUCAAAAGCAGAGACAUUACUUUGCCGACUAAAGUCUGUCUAGUCAAGGCUAUGAUUUUUCCUGUGGUCAUGUAUGGAUGUGAGAGUUGGACUGUGAAGAAGGCUGAGUGCCGAAGAAUUGAUGCUUUUGAACUGUGGAGUUGGAGAAGACUCUUGAGAGUCCCUUGGACUACAAGGAGAUCCAACCAGUCCAUUCUGAAGGAGAUCGGUCUCGGGUGUUCUUUGGAAGGACUGAUGCUGAAGCUGAAACUCCAGUACUUUGGCCACCUGAUGCGAAGAGUUGACUCACUGGAAAAGACUCUGAUGCUGGGAGGGAUUGGGGGCAGGAGGAGAAGGGGACAACAGAGGAUGAGAUGGCUGGAUGGCAUCACUGUCUCAAUGGACAUGAAUCUGAGUGAACUCUGGGAGUUGGUGAUGGGCAGGGAUGCCUGGCGUGCUGCGAUUCACGGGGUUGCAAAGAGUUGGACAUGA